CCUGGCGGCGAUAGCGCGGUGGUCCCACCUGACCCCAUGCCGAACUCAGCAGUGAAACGCAGUAGCGCCGAUGGUAGUGUGGGGUCUCCCCAUGUGAGAGUAGGGAACUGCCAGGU
rnacentral:rRNA from 1 species